AGCUGUUAAAGUAGUUCAAUGUACAUUAAAGUUUCAUCAUCAAUACAGAAAGCGAGAUAUUUUCUCAAAAUCAAAUCUCUCAAAAUCCUUCAUGGCAUCAGAGCAUUGAGCUCGAUCCAGAAGCUUCAUCAUCUUUUUACAUCACAAAUUCUUCCUUAAAUCAAUAAGCUAAAAUGGUAGAAACACUUGCAGUUGAUACGGCUGAGGCAAGCAAUGUUACAAAAGUUGUAACCUAUGAUGUUAAUCAUCCCUACCACCUCAAUAAUUCUGAUUCCCCUGGAAUGACACGUCAACUGUGUUUUUGAAGGAAAAGGUUAUCCUGGAUGGAGAAGAUCUAUUCUCCUAUCUCUUUCAGCCAAGAAGAAACUCAGAUUCAUCAAUGGAGGCUGUCCACCUCCAGAUUUGAAGUCACUAGAUUAUGAGCACUGGAGCUGCGUAAAUAAUAUGGUAAUCUCUUGGAUCUUAAAUGCCCUCUCAAAGGAUAUAGCAGACAGUGUAAUUUAUUCCAAAAAUGCAAAAGACUUGUGGGAUAGUCUCGAGCAAAAGUUUGGAAAGUCCAAUGGUGCUAAGUUGUAUCACCUACAAAAGGAAUUACCAGGGUUAGUGCAAGGAAAUUCUGACAUAGCAGGAUAUUCUACUAAGCUCAAAAGAUUAUGGGAUGAAUUAGAUGUUUUGAAUGUCAUCAUAUGUUGUUCUUGUAUCUGUGUAUGUGAAGGAAAAGCAAAGCUCACAAAAUCUCUGGAGGACUAGAGAUUAAUUCAAUUCCUAAUGGGACUUAAUGACAACUAUGCCCAGGCAAGGGGCAGCAUCCUCAUGAUGAACCCAUUACCUAGCAUGGAUGUUGCCUAUUCACUACUGCUUCAGGAUGAGCAUCAAAGGGAAGUGUAUGCAAAUGCACAAUUUAACACGUAACCAACAUUAUUCAUGGCAACAUGAGAAGAUAAGCAAUCUAAUGCACAACUACUAGCUGACUUUGCAGCUUUCAUGAGCACUGGACCAGGAAAGAAUUUUCAAAGGAGCAGGAAUCAGUCACAAAGAGGAGGAGGCAUAGGGUCUAAAUUUAACAAUACUCCAUAGAGAUUCCCCAGGCCCCAGCAGAAACUCAAAGAGAGGAAGAAAUACAACCCAAAUCUGACCUGUUCCUAGUGUGGAAAAAUAGGUCACUCUCAAGAAGAUUGCUACAGGAUCAUUGGUUUACCAGAAGAUUUUGAGUUUACAAACCAGAAGAGGUACCAAAACCAAAAUCAAAUCAAAGGAAAUGCAGUUCUAACACAUGAUGAACAUGUAGGUUCAGCAGGACAGAGUAAUGAGAACAUUAAUUUUGGACAGGAGAUGAGCAAGGAACAGAUAACUGAGAUGAUGCAGAUGUACAAGUAAGCAAAGCUAACUCAAGGAGGGAACAAUGCAAUCAAUGCUAAUGCAGUUGCUGGUACAAUUUUAAAAUAUUCAAGUUCAGUUUUCACAAUAUUAAAACAGACACUUGGAUCAUUGAUUCAGGUGCCUCAGAGCACAUGUGUUUUGACCCAAAUUCUUUCUUGUUUCUAACUCCUCUUCAUGUGCCUUUAAACAUAAGUUUACCUAAUUCAUUCAAGGUAACUGUCACUCACAUAGGAAGUAUCACCAUACUGCCUGGUCAUACUCUAAACAAUGUUUUACAUGUUCCAGAGUUCAAGUACAAUCUAUUGUCAGUUAAUAGAUUCUGUAUUCAAUUCAAAUAUGAUGUAUUGUUCACAUCUAUUGAGUGUGUGUUGCAGGGCCUUUCAAUGAAGAUUCCUCAAGCUAUUGGUGAAGUUAGAGAAGGACUUUAUCUAUUGGAACCAAGUAGUGUCAAGUCUAAGGUUUUCUUUAGUAAUGAUGUAUUUUCAAUUCCAAAAGGAUGCAAUUCCAUUUCAAAGUCCGUUUCCUUUCCUAGUUCAGUUCAAGCUAAUGUUGUUAGUGAUUUUAAGUUUUGGAAUGUAAGGUUGGGAUACCUCCCAUUUUCAGCAAUGAAACAUUUACAUUUCCUUCAUUGUAAGUCAGAUUCUGAUCUCAUUUGUGAUGUUUGUCCUAGGGCUAAACAGACUAUAAAUUCCUUUCAUGUUAGUAGCAUACGGACCAAACAAAUAUUUGACCUCAUUCAUGUUGACACAUGGGGACCCUAUAAGUCAAACACCUACAAUGGAUACAAGUAUUUUCUAACCAGUAGAUGGCCAUAGUAGAGGGACAUGGACAUUCUUGUUAAGUACAAAAAGUAAUGCUUUUCCUAUGCUCAAGGAUUUUCUGUUUAUUGUUGAGAGGCAAUUCAAUUUAAAGGUGAAAGCCAUAAGAGCUGACAAUGCUUUAGAAUUGGGAAAGGGAACCCAAGAGGCAACAUAUCUUUCUUAUCAAGGGAUUAUACAUAAGUUGUCUUGUGUAGCAACUCCUCAAUAAAAUGGGAUUGUUGAGAGGAAGCAUAGACACCUUCUAGAAACUGCAAGGACAUUGAUGUUUUAGUCUAAAUUGCCUAUGAAAUAUUGGGGGGAAUCCAUUCUAACUUCCACGCAUCUCAUUAAUAGAAUGCCUUCUAGUGUGCUCAAUGGAAAAACACCAUAUGAAGUUUUGUUUCAGAGAAAGCCUAAGUAUGAUUAUCUUAGGAAUUUUGGGUGUCUGUCUUAUGGUUCAACUCUAGGACAAGGAAGAGGCAAGUUUGAUGAAAGGGCAACAACUUGUGUUUUACGUGGAUAUCAUGUUCAUCAGAAAGGGUAUAAGCUAUUGGAUUUGAAAACUGGCAAAGUUUUUGUGUCAAGGGAUGUGAAGUUUCAUGAAUCAUAUUUCCCUUUUGCUGAGAACAUCUCUACACCUCAACCUAUUUUUUCCAACCCAAUACUCACCACUGAACAUACAUUUUCACACCCACCAGAAGAUCUACCCUCAUCUUCCUCAUUUUCACACCCAACAGAAGAUCCAAUCUCACCUAUUUUCUUUGAACCUGAACAUUCUAGCAGUAGUCCCUCAAUCUCAUCUCCACAUAAUCACUUUCCACAGUCUCUCUCGCAACAGUUUCUUAGUCCAACUCCUCUUCAAUCUCCUUUGGAUACUCAACGACACUCCUCACCUAUCCUAGGUCCUCAACAACACACACCAGUCAGAAAAUCAGCAAGGGUAUCCAAACAACCAGUUUACUUAAAGGACUAUGUUUGCAACAACAUCAUGUUCCCAGAUGUGGAAGCUAUUUGCUUCCAUCAACCAUGCAACCCAAGGAAAUACUAUUUUUCUUCUCUUUCACCCAACAACCAACACAUCCUUCAGUCUCUUUCUACCAUCACUAAGCCUACUACUUUCUCUCAAGCUUGUCAACACCCAGGUUGGGCAAAAGCAAUGGAUUUGGAAUCAAAGCACUAGACGACAAUAAGACAUGGGAUGUGGUUGAAUUACCUAAAGGAAAAAGAGCUCUACCUUGUAAAUGGGUAUACAAGGUAAAACAUCUAUCUGCUGGAAGAGUGGAGAGACUAAAAGAUAGCCUAGUGGUGAGGGGGGAUAUUCAAAGAGAAGGGGUAGACUAUAGUGAAACUUUUUCUUUAGUUGUGAAAAUGACAAUGGAUUUGGAAAUCAAUGAAUUUGGAAAUGCAAAGCAAUAGAAGACAAUAAGACAUGGGAUGUGGUUGAAUUACUUAAUGGAAAAAGAGCUCUACCUUGUAAAUGGGUUUUCAACGUAAAACAUCUAUCUGAUGGAAGAGUGGAGAGACUAAAGGCUAGGCGAGUGGUUAGGGGGGAUAUUCAAAGAGAAGGGAUAGACUAUAGUGAAACUUUUUCUCCAGUUGUGAAAAUGACAACAAUCAGAUGUCUGCUCACAAUAGCAACCAAGAGAGAUUGGAAUGUGUCUCAAUUGGAUGUCAACAAUGAAUUUUUGCAUGGAGACCUUCAGGAAGAAGUUUACAUGAAGUUUCCCUCAGGUGUCACACCACCUAGUGCUAAACGUGUCUGUCUACUCAGAAAAUCUCUAUAUGAUUUGAAGCAAGCUUCUAGGCAAUGGUAUGCUAGACUUGCUGGAGCUUUAAGCUUUAAAGGAUAUUCAUCUUCUCUAAACGAUUAUUCUUUAUUUUUUAAACGAACUAGUGAACUAAUUCCAUCCUAGCAGUGUAUGUAAAUGACAUUCUACUUACAGGGAAUGAUCUACAAGAAAUUUAGCACAUCAAAGGGUUUCUCAAUGCUGAAUUCAAGAUAAAAAAUCUAGGAGAUAUACACUACUUUCUAGGAAUGAAAAUUUUGCGAGAAAAGGAAGGGUUUAUUGUGAAUCAAAGGAAAUUUACCUUAGAUCUGCUUCAGGAGUUUGAUGUUUCUCAUUUGAAGUCAGUCAGCUCACCCCUGGAUCCCUCACACAAGCUUGUUUCUGAUGAUGGUAGACCUCUGGCAAAUCCCACAAUCUUUCGUCAUUUGAUUGGCAAACUGAAUUAUUUGACCAAUACUCGACCAGACCUCUCAUUUGCAGUUCUUUCUCUCAGUCUCACAUUUCACCGUUGCAUUGCGAGUUUUGAAGAAUUUAUGUGCCGAUCCAGGUCAAGGUAUUCUUCUUUCCUCAAGCCCAUCUUUCUCUCUGCUUGCAUUUUGCGAUGCAGACUUGGCUUCUUGCAAAGAAUCCAGAAGGUCUGUGAGUGGAUAUUUCAUUACACGUGGAGGAGCUCCCAUUUCUUGGAAAUCAAAGAAACAUGUCUCAGUUUCUUUAUCAUCAGCAGAGGCGGAAUAUAGAUCUAUGAGACGAGUUAUAACAGAACUUACUUGGCUUGUUCGACUUCUUGAAGAUCUCUGCCCCAGUAGCUCUUCCUAUUCCCCUUCACUCUGAUAGCAAGGCAGCUAUUCACAUUGCCCGUAAUCCAGUAUUUCAAGAACGAGCAAAACAUGUCGAAAUCGACUGUCAUUUUGUCCGUCAACAGUUCCUCUCUGGGCUAAUUAGUCUUUCUUUUGUUCCUUCUCACGAUCAUCUGCCGAUCUGUUCACUAAUCCCCUCUCAGGAGUUUCUCAUUCUCAGCUAUUGAGCAAGUUAGGGGUCACACGGUUACCCUCUAACUUGAGGGGGAUGUUAAGAUAAAGAAACCCCAACCCCAUGCUAAUUUUGUAAUCCAUGAAAUCACACACGGGGUAGAAGAAGAAAGGAAGAAGACGAUGAAGAAAAGUACAGAAGAGAUGAAGAUGAAGAAUAGUGAUCUUCGAUACUUCUGAGGUUGUCUGAAUAUUUGUUUGGAUAAGAAGCAACUGGGCCUUCUGAUAUUGGGCUUCAGAUAAUUUGCUACUAGCUGGGCCAGUUGCAAGAUAUCAUAUAUGGGCUGGGUGCAGACAACCCCUUAUCUUUUAUUUUCCAUAUUCUUUUAUUAAUUUGUAAAUAGCAUGUGAUUAGUUAUAUAGUAGCCAAUAGAAUAGGGACAAGUGUAUAGUUAGUUAUUUUCUUAGAUUCCUUUUGUAGUUGUUAAAUUGUACAAUGUACAGUAAAGUUUCAUCAUCAAUACAGAAAACGAGAUAUUUUCUCAAA
rnacentral:lncRNA from 1 species